AGUGUACAAGUCGCCACGUCCACCAACUCCUGUUUACAAGUCGCCACCACCACCCAAGGAGCCAUACUACCCUCCACACACCCCAACCUACAAGUUGUCACCUCCACCAACUCCAGUUUACAACUCUCCACCACCACCAACUCCAGUCUACAAGUCUCCACCACCACCCCACUAUCUUUACACCUCUCCCCCUCCUCCCUACCAUUACUAAGAAGCGAUUUCAUUAUAUCUGAGGAAAGCAGAAUGUUGAGCUAAAAGAAAAUGAGCCCAGACAGGAGGCAAAGUACUUUUGUAGCUUCAUUUUGUAUAAGUUAUUGUUUGUACCCUAUAUUAUAUUUAUAUUUUACUUCUAUUUAUUUGUGAAAUAUGUUUGUUCGAUCUCCAUGCAAACUGCGGAGAUUAUGAGAUGUAUAAAAUAAGUUAUUACUAAAUG